GACGAACGCUGGCGGCGUGCUUAACACAUGCAAGUCGAACGGACAGGCCAUGCUUUUGUGGGGUGCACGAGUGGCGCGCGCGUGAGUAAAACGCGUGUAUACUCUCCUUGUCAUUGUGGUAUAAUUAGGAGAAUGGGGCUCAUAUACGGUAGGAGAUAUUGAUGCACGUUGGGGGAUGGAAAGAGUCGGCGGUUCGGGAUGGAAUCGCGGCUUAUGCGCUGGUUGGGGGGGAGUGGAUUACCACGGCUUUGCCGGGCAGCCGGCCUGAGCGGGUGACCGGCCACAUUGGGACUGAGGGACGGCCCAGACUCCUACGGGAGGCAGCAGGGGGGAAUAUUGCACAAUGGGCGGAAGCCUGAUGCAGCAACGCCGCGUGCGGGAUGACGGCCUUCGGGUUGUAAACCGCUUUCGCCUGUGACGAAGCGUGAGUGACGGUAAUGGGUAAAGAAGCACCGGCUAACUACGUG
rnacentral:rRNA from 1 species